AGAAAACAGAACUUCGAGAUGUCAAAUCCUGACUGACUCAAAUGGUCCUUUUGCAAAGUGUCAUUCUACGGUCUCACCAAAUUUCUAUUUCACGAGCUGCCUGUUUGAUAUGUGUGUGGGAGGAGAUGAGGAUGCUACCUUAUGUCGCAGUCUGGAGGAAUACGUGCUGGAUUGUCAGCAGCAAGGAGUCAGUAUGGAAGGCUGGAGGCAACAGACAGUUUGUGGUAUAUCAUGUCCUGCCAACAGCAACUACAGCUCAUGCAUGUCUGCAUGCCCAGCAUCCUGCAACGACUUGACCAGCCCCUCUGAGUGCGAAUCACCUUGUGUUGAAGGCUGUGAAU